UACGGGGGGGGCCAGCGUUGUUCGGAAUUACUGGGCGUAAAGGGCGUGUAGGCGGCCUUCUAAGUCGGACGUGAAAUCCCUCGGCUCAACCGGGGAACUGCGUCUGAUACUGGAGGGCUUGAAUCCGGGAGAGGGAUGCGGAAUUCCAGGUGUAGCGGUGAAAUGCGUAGAUAUCUGGAGGAACACCGGUGGCGAAGGCGGCAUCCUGGACCGGUAUUGACGCUAAAGCGCGAAAGCCAGGGGAGCAAAC
rnacentral:rRNA from 1 species